UCAGGCGGCCGGGUGGUCGCUGGCCGGUGUUUAUGCGCCGGUUGGAGGAAAGUCCGGGCUCCACGGAAACACGGUGCCGGGUAACGCCCGGCGGGGGCGACCCCAGGGAAAGUGCCACAGAAAGCAAACCGCCUUUUGGUUCGCCAAAUGGUAAGGGUGAAAGGGUGCGGUAAGAGCGCACCGCGGCUGCGGCGACGCAGGCGGCACGGGUAAACCCCACCGGGAGCAAGAUCGAAUAGGGGUGGCGCGCCGGGAGUAAUCCCGGCAGGUGCGUUUCCGACCCAGCUACCCGGGUUGAUCGCGUGAGGCGUUCGGUAACGGGCGCCCCAGAUGAAUAGCCAUCUCCUGCGCAAGCAGGGACAGAACCCGGCUUACAGACCGUCUGG
rnacentral:RNase_P_RNA from 1 species